GCAUGGUGAUGGAAUGAUGGCAGACCCUUCUCUGUGGGCCUUUCAUAGUGUACCCGUGCCAGAGGAGCGUGCAGCCCUGAACCAUUGCCCAGCCUCCUCACUGGUGGGCUGUGAGCACUGAAGGGGACUGUACAGUG
ensembl:snoRNA